UAAGAUAUAGUAUAAACAUAUAAUACGUUUCAUUUACACUGAAAAAAUACUUAUAGAUAAGUUAUCUUUA
rnacentral:tRNA from 1 species